ACCAGGCUGGCUGAGUUGUAGAGUAUGAGACUCUUGAUCUUGGGGCUGUGAGUUCGAGUCCCACGUGGGGUG
rnacentral:tRNA from 1 species